rnacentral:rRNA from 1 species
UACGUAGGGGGCUAGCGUUGUCCGGAUUUAUUGGGCGUAAAGCGCGUGUAGGCGGCCAGGUAGGUCCGCUGUGAAAACUCGAGGCUCAACCUCGAGACGUCGGCGGAAACCCUCUGGCUAGAGUCCGGAAGAGGAGAGUGGAAUUCCUGGUGUAGCGGUGAAAUGCGCAGAUAUCAGGAAGAACACCGAUGGCGAAAGCAGCUCUCUGGGACGGUACUGACGCUGAGACGCGAAAGCGUGGGGAGCGAACAGG